rnacentral:rRNA from 1 species
GAUGAACGCUGGCGGCGUGCCUAAUACAUGCAAGUCGAGCGAACAGAUAAGGAGCUUGCUCCUUUGACGUUAGCGGCGGACGGGUGAGUAACACGUGGGUAACCUACCUAUAAGACUGGGAUAACUUCGGGAAACCGGAGCUAAUACCGGAUAAUAUUUCGAACCGCAUGGCUCGAUAGUGAAAGAUGGUUUUGCUAUCACUUAUAGAUGGACCCGCGCCGUAUUAGCUAGUUGGUAAGGUAACGGCUUACCAAGGCGACGAUACGUAGCCGACCUGAGAGGGUGAUCGGCCACACUGGAACUGAGACACGGUCCAGACUCCUACGGGAGGCAGCAGUAGGGAAUCUUCCGCAAUGGGCGAAAGCCUGACGGAGCAACGCCGCGUGAGUGAUGAAGGUCUUCGGAUCGUAAAACUCUGUUAUUAGGGAAGAACAUACGUGUAAGUAACUGUGCACGUCUUGACGGUACCUAAUCAGAAAGCCACGGCUAACUACGUG